GAAACAGAAAGAGGGAGAGGGAGGGAGGGUCGGUCUGACGGCGCAGGCUCCCAAACUUCUCAAGUGAGUAGCCAGUCCUGUGUGUGUGUUUUUUUGUUUAUAUCUUUUUUUUGUGCCAAUUCUGCCUUAGUGAUUAACAAAACUAAAACAAAAUAAACUACCCCGGAGCCCCUCGGGGGUGAAUUUCUGACAUCUGCACCUUUCGCCACACGGGCGGGCAGGUAUGGAGUUACCGAGAGACGGAAGCGUUGGUUACAGUGGACGAGCGAGAGUGGUUGUGUUCUAGAGACUGGCUGCCGCAAAUCUCACGGUGGCGUUUUCACCAAGGCAUCAGGAGGACCUUUGGUCGCGGGUCAAGGCUUCUGCAGGUAGAGUGUCAUCGACGAGUACAACAUGACAGCACGUUGCUCGGGGGGGGGGGAGGGAGGGAGGGGAGCAUUACUGCCCUCCCUUUCACCAGCAUCUCAUCAGGAAUAACACUUGGCUUCUCUGCCACAGAUGGAGGCUGAAUUAGCCAGGAAUGACAACUUGCGUAGCAGUGAUCUGCAAGUGGCUCAACCAGACUGAAAUGCAAUACAAAUCACAUGCGGUUGAGCGACUGAAUAUUGGAUGAAGAGAGCAGCACAUUUUCAUAAACGAUGCAACAA